GGCGCUUUGGCGGAGUGGUUAACGCGAUGCCCUGCUAUAUUUCACGAUAUACUGGAAGGCAUUUCCUUCGGGAGCGCAGGUUCGAAUCCUGCAGGCGUCG
rnacentral:tRNA from 1 species